UACGUAGGGGGCAAGCGUUGUCCGGAUUUAUUGGGCGUAAAGAGCGUGUAGGCGGUCUGUCGCGUCUGCUGUGAAAAUCCGGGGCUCAACCCCGGACUUGCAGUGGGUACGGGCAGACUAGAGUGUGGUAGGGGAGACUGGAAUUCCUGGUGUAGCGGUGAAAUGCGCAGAUAUCAGGAGGAACACCGAUGGCGAAGGCAGGUCUCUGGGCCACUACUGACGCUGAGAAGCGAAAGCAUGGGGAGCGAACAGG
rnacentral:rRNA from 1 species